AUUUGCGGCCAUAGCAGCGGGGCAACACCCGGACCCAUACCGAACCCGGAAGUUAAGCCCGUUCACGUAGUGUGUGGUACUGAGUUGCGAGAGCGCUCGGGAAGCACACCACGCUGCAAAUG
rnacentral:rRNA from 1 species